rnacentral:rRNA from 1 species
GACAAGAAAUAACAAUACGGGGCUUAAAGUCUUGUAAUUGGAAUGAUGGGAAUUUAAACCUCUUCCAGAGUAUCAAUUGGAGGGCAAGUCUGGUGCCAGCAGCCGCGGUAAUUCCAGCUCCAAUAGCGUAUAUUAAAAUUGUUGCAGUUAAAAAGCUCGUAGUUGAAUUUCUGCUGCAUUGCUUGUGUCCCUCUGGGGUCUGUGCAUGUGGCUUUUUUCGGACGGAGUUUCUUUGUCUGAACGUUUACUUUGAGAAAAUUAGAGUGCUCAAAGCAGGCUUUCGCCUUGAAUAGUUUAGCAUGGAAUAAUAAAGUAGGACUUUGGUUCUAUUUUGUUGGUUUUAGGUACCAAAGUAAUGGUUAAUAGGAACAGUUGGGGGCAUUCGUAUUUAACUGUCAGAGGUGAAAUUCUUAG